rnacentral:rRNA from 1 species
ACGCUCGACACCUACGGGAGCAGCAGUGGGGAAUAUUGCACAAUGGGGGAAACCCUGAUGCAGCGAUGCCGCGUGAAGGAAGAAGUAUCUCGGUAUGUAAACUUCUAUCAGCAGGGAAGAAAAUGGCGGUACCUGACUAAGAAGCCCCGGCUAACUACGUGCCAGCAGCGGUACGGUAAUCUGAGGCGGGCGUGGACGAAGGC